rnacentral:lncRNA from 1 species
AAGAUGGUAAAGUAAUAAUUACUUCCUUCAGCAGCAAUAGUUUAGGGAAAAGCUCAAAGACAUAUGGGCUGAAUAUUUAGCAGACAGUGAUAAUGGUGAGGUCACAGAUAUGACUCUGUGGGAUGCUAGCAAAGCAGUAUUGCAGGGAAAAUUGAUUGAAAUCUUUGCCCAAAAGAAAAGGGAAAGGCAACUACAAAUACCAGAGUUAGGGACUAAAAUUAGGAGCCUCCAAAAGGAGCAUAUUAAGAAGGGUAAGGCUAAAACUAAUUGAUUUAGAAAAUGCCAUGGGGAAACUUAAUGGGAUUCUAAAUGAGAGAAUGUAUCUAAUAAAGCUCACUAAGAGCAAGUCUUCCUCCCCUGGCGAUAGAGCAGAUACUGUCUUGGCCUGCUAACUUAGAGGAGAGCACAGUGGAGACUAAUUAGGGAAAUUAUGGGACCAAAAGGGGCCCCACUCUAACCCCAGUGAAACCAGAACCAGCAUUCUUCUUUAUUACUCUUUUACAGACACAUAUAGUAUUACAAUUCACAUGCUAUUUUAAAGUUUCUAGACUCAGUCAAUUACCAUAAAAUGUAAUCUCCUUCUUUCCAUGGGCUGUUUAUAUGUCUGUGUCUUUAUGACAUUUCCAUACCUACUCUGUUAACAUAAUGUGGAGUUUGGGACACAAGAAAAGUAAUGUGAAAAAGCCACUAGACAAGGAACUAGAAGACCUGUCUACUCUUGCAAUACCAACAACUCGUUAAUUUCCCUAAGUUUCUAUAUAAAAAUUUUCAGACUCUUUUCCAUUUAGAGUCUUGACAAAACACUAAUAGGUUAUCCUUUCAAAACUAUCAAAGGUAGAAAGUAAAGCAAUGAAUGUUGUAACAAAACAAUAAAGAGACCCUUUGUGCCAAAGAAGAAAUGAGAAAAACUAAAAGAAUAAUAAUAAUGAAAUGAUUAAAUCUAGUCACUUAACAUGACCUGCUAAGUGUCAUAUGAUAAGAGAUGAGCUAAACUUUGUUCAGUGCAUAUCAGAUGAAAUGUUCCCUUGUUAGAGAAGACAUACCUUCUCUCCUCAUGUGGCUCAGGAUCAAAUUGUGGAGCAACAUAUAGGGGAAAAGAGGAUACCAAGCCAGGCAUGUUUUUUCCCAUUAUUAUGUGCAUAUCCCAAUAAAAUCACAUAUCCUUUGUUUAUCUGAAAAAUGAGGAUGAUAAUGUUGACACUGAAGGGUUAUCCUGAUAACUAAAUAGGAAGAGAUAAUAAAGAACCCAGUGAAUGUUAAAUAACNGUCUAAAUUCUCCCCUUUUUUUUGGUCUUUUUAGGGCUGCACCUGCAGCACAUGGAGGUUCCCAGGCUAGGGGUUGAAUCGGAGCUACAGCUGCCAGCCUAUACCACAGCCACAGCCACGCAAGAUCCAAGCCACAUCUGCAACCUACACCACAGCUCACAGCCACCAGAUCCUUAACCCACUGAGCAAGGCCAGGGAUUGAACCCGCAACCUCAUGCUUCCUAGUCGGAUUCAUUAAUCACUGAGGCACGACUGGAACUCCCUAAAUUCUCCCUUCUUUCCUUCCCCCUUUCUUUUUUUCUCCCUUCCUCCCUUCCUUCCUUCCUUGCUUCCGUUUACAGUAAUCCAUAAUGUACUUCACCCUAGUCCAGAAAUCAUUGUAUGUCUUUAG